rnacentral:misc_RNA from 1 species
CCGCCUGACCUGGGGUCGCGUCGAGAGCAUCGUCUUUGUGGACGACGUUCAGAGGGUCGACAUGGGAGUCCUCGCUUGCUCGCUCGCUCGCUGGGAGGAGGUGCGCGGGCUGAGGUCGCGACGCGGUACCGAGGUUGGAUCAACUCCCCCCGGCACGGAAGGUUUGUAAACGCGUUCGCGGGUCGUUUGAUGUUUAGGCAUCGACAAUGAUCCUUCCGCAGGUUCACCUACGGAAACCUUGUUACGACUUCUCCUUCCUCUAAAUGAUAAGGUUCAG